rnacentral:rRNA from 1 species
GAAUUGCAGAAUCCCGUGAACCAUCGAGUCUUUGAACGCAAGUUGCGCCCCAAGCCAUUAGGCCGAGGGCACGCCUGCCUGGGUGUCACGCAUCGUCGCCCCCUCCGCCCUUCAGCCCAACAAAAAGCUGAGGGCGGUGCUGGGACGGAAAAUGGCCUCCCGUAGGCUUCCCCGCUUGCGGUUGGCCCAAACGCGAGUCCUCGGCAACGAACGGCGCCGUGACGAUCGGUGGUAAUGCUCCUAGCGUGCCUUGUCUCCAGUCGCGCGCGCCCGUUGUCCGUGCGGACCCCCUCGGACCCUUUUGUGCAUCGCUCGAACGAUGCUCGCAUCGCGACCCCA